CUACGGACUUGAUUGUAUUGAGCCUUGGUAUGGAAACCUGCUAAGUGGCAAUUUCCAAAUUCAGAGAAACCCUGGAAUUAAAAAAGGGGCAAUCCUGAGCCAAUCCAUGUUUUGAGAAAACAAGUGGUUCUCGAACUAGAACCCAAAGGAAAAGGAUAGGUGCAGAGACUCAAUGGAAGCUGUUCUAACGAAUCGAGUUAAUUACGUUGUGUUGCUAGCGGAACUCCCUUCUAAAUUAGGGAAAGAAGGGCUUUCGAAAUCUAAUACACACGUAUAGAUACUGGCAUAGCAAAUGAUUAAUCACAGAACUCAUAUCAUAAUAUAGGUUCUUUAAUUCUUUUUUAAAAUGAAAAUAGGAAUGAUUAUGAAAUAGAAAAUUCAUAAUUUUUUUAGAAUUGUUGUGAAUCCAUUCCAAUCGAAUAUUGAGUAAUCAAAUCCUUCAAUUCAUAGUUUUCGAAAUCUUUUUAAAAGUGGAUUAAUCGGACGAGGAUAAAGAGAGAGUCCCAUUCUACAUGUCAAUACUGA
rnacentral:ncRNA from 1 species